UUGUCUCUUAACUUACACAUGCAAGUCUCAGCACUCCCGUGAGGGACGCCCUUUACCCCUUCAUUAGGCUAAGGAGCUGGUAUCAGGCACUACUUAUGCCCAUAACACCUAGUCCCACCACACCCUCAAGGGUAAUCAGCAGUGAUAAACUUUGUUAAUAAGCGACAGCUUGACUCAGUUAAAGAGAAGAGAGCCGGCCAACCCGGUGCCAGCCGCCGCGGCUAGACCCAUGGGCUCAAAUUGAUAACAGUCGGCGUUAAUCGUGAUUAAAGUACCCUAAAAUUAGAGUGAAACCUACCGUCUUGCCGUGAAAAUCAACACUCUAGGGAAAACCAGAAACGAAAGUUACUCUAAUCCAUACUUGAACACACGACAACUAGGACACAAACUGGGAUUAGAUACCCCACUAUGCCUAGUCGUAAAAUAUUUACUCACACCCACAAACGCCAGGGAACUACGAGCCUUAGCUUAAAACCCAAAGGACUUGACGGUGUCCCACCCAACUAGAGGAGCCUGUACUAUAAUCGAUGGUCCCCGAUAAACCCUACCUUUUCUUGCUCAUCAGCCUGUAUACCUCCGUCGUAAAUCUACCAUAUGAAUGAUACACAGCUCGGUUCAAUGAUUUCCCCCAUCAGAACGUCAGGUCAAGGUGCAGCCCAUGAAAAGGCAAGUGAUGGGCUACAAUUUCUAAUCUAGAACAAACGAAAUACUGUAUGAAACACAGGCACAGAAGGAGGAUUUAGAAGUAAAGAGAAAAUAACGAGUUCUCUUAAACAUGGCCCUGGGACACGUACACACCGCCCGUCG
rnacentral:ncRNA from 1 species